UACGUAGGGUCCGAGCGUUGUCCGGAAUUAUUGGGCGUAAAGGGCUCGUAGGCGGUCUGUUGCGUCGGGAGUGAAAACUUACAGCUUAACUGUGAGCGUGCUUUCGAUACGGGCAGACUUGAGGCAUUCAGGGGAGAACGGAAUUCCUGGUGUAGCGGUGAAAUGCGCAGAUAUCAGGAGGAACACCGGUGGCGAAGGCAGGUCUCUGGGCCGCAACUGACGCUGAGGAGCGAAAGCAUGGGGAGCGAACGGG
rnacentral:rRNA from 1 species